GACGAACGCUGGCGGCGUGCUUAACACAUGCAAGUCGAACGGAGUGGCGAACGGGUGAGUAUUACGUGAGUAACCUGCCCUCAACUGUGGGAUAAGCCUGGGAAACUGGGUCUAAUACUGCAUAGUUGGGGGUGGGCUCGCGGCAUUUCAGGUUGUUGGGGGGGUGAGGGCUUACCAAGGCGGUGACGGGUAGCCGGCCGGAGAGGGUGGUCGGCCAUAUUGGGACUGAGAUACGGCCCAGACGCCUACGUGUGGCAACAGUGGGAGAUAUUGCACAAUGGGCGCAAGCCUGAUGCAGCGACGCCGCGUGGGGGAUGAAGGCUUUCGGGUUGUAAACCUGUUUCGGUACAGAACGGGUAUGUGCAGAAGAAGCGCCGGCUAACUACGUGCCAGCCGCCGCGGUAAUAC
rnacentral:rRNA from 1 species